CACGUAGGCACCAAGCGUUGUCCGGAUUUAUUGGGCGUAAAGAGCUCGUAGGCGGUUGGGUAAGUCGGGUGUGAAAACUCUGCGCUUAACGCAGAGAGGCCACUCGAUACUGCCCUGACUAGAGUACGGUAGGGGAGCGGGGAAUUCCGGGUGUAGCGGUGAAAUGCGCAGAUAUCCGGAGGAACACCAGUGGCGAAGGCGCCGCUCUGGGCCGUAACUGACGCUGAGGAGCGAAAGCGUGGGUAGCAAACAGG
rnacentral:misc_RNA from 1 species